GCGGGAGAAAGAACGAGUCCAAAGAAUAAUUUGUCAAGAGUGCGUAAUCUGCCGCGUCGCGGGCUCAACUCUGGAAGACGAGACAUUUUAGAGGACAAAUAGCGGCACUGUGAGGACGUCACAUGACCCCGCCACAUUAACCGCCACGCUUGACGCGAAGCUGUCAUGCUAAAAAAAAAAAAAAAAAACCAACACAAAACAAA